UAUCAUUUUUCUGUCCUUUCAAUCUUUGUGUUUUUUUGAGUUAAUAUUAGCUGUAGUGAAGAUUGCAGGACAAAAAAUUAUCUAGGUUUUGCACUCUCUCAAUUUUAAGCAUUUCCAUGCUGAAGCGGAAGCAAGAUCGAGUGCACUCACACACCCACAAACAGAAAUUAAAUAAAGAGACAAAGAUUUACGUAGUUCGGAGAGAAGAAAUUUCCUUACCUCCACGAGUGGUAGACAAUCAUUAUAACCAAAGUGUUUACAAGCAUAUCUCUCACACUCUCGCACUCUAAAGUCUUUAAACAAAGUUCCUCCCAAUUGUCUCAAAGCAAAUACAAAAUGGCAAUGACUACAUAUCUAACCCAAAUGCCACUGGACAAAUAUAAAAUGACAAUGACUUCACACCUCAAAACAAUGCUAGACAAGCCUUUAUAUAGGCAUAACUAUACUAAUUCUCAUACAUGAACCAAAUAAAUGAGAACAUGAAACAAAAUGGUUAUGAACUAAAUGAGAGUUAAUAACCAAAAUAAAUGAGAAUAUGAA